rnacentral:rRNA from 1 species
UACGAAGGGGGCUAGCGUUGUUCGGAAUUACUGGGCGUAAAGGGCGCGUAGGCUGUGCUGUAAGUCAGGCGUGAAAGCCCCGGGCUCAACUUGGGAAUUGCGCUUGAUACUGCGGCGCUGGAAGGUGGGAGAGGAUGGCGGAAUUCCCAGUGUAGAGGUGAAAUUCGUAGAUAUUGGGAAGAACACCGGUGGCGAGGGCGGCCAUCUGGCCCACAAUUGACGCUGAGGCGCGAAAGCGUGGGGAG